rnacentral:rRNA from 1 species
AUUGAACGCUGGCGGCAGGCCUAACACAUGCAAGUCGAACGAGUGGCGGACGGGUGAGUAAUGUCUGGGAAACUGCCUGAUGGAGGGGGAUAACUACUGGAAACGGUAGCUAAUACCGCAUACCAUCGGAUGUGCCCAGAUGGGAUUAGCUAGUGGGUGGGGUAAAGGCUCACCUAGGCUACGAUCCCUAGCUGGUCUGAGAGGGUGACCGGCCACACUGGAACUGAGACACGGUCCAGACUCCUACGGGAGGCAGCAGUGGGGAAUAUUGCGCAAUGGGCGAAAGCCUGAUGGAGCCAUGCCGCGUGUAUGAUGAAGGCCUUCGGGUUGUAAAGCUCUUUCAGCGGGGAGGCGUUACCCGCACAAGAAGCCCCGGCUAACUCCGUGCCAGCAGCCGCGGUAAUAC